AGUGAACGCUGGCGGUAGGCCUAACACAUGCAAGUCGAACGACAGCACAGUAAGAGCUUGCUCUUACGGGUGGCGAGUGGCGGACGGGUGAGGAAUACAUCGGAAUCUACUUUUUCGUGGGGGAUAACGUAGGGCAACUUACGCUAAUACCGCAUACGACCUACGGGAGAAAGCAGGGGUUCUUCGCACCUUUCGCGUUUGUUUUAGCCGAUGUCGGAUUACCUUAUCGGCGGGGUAAGGGCACACCAAGGCAACGAUCCGUUGCUGGUCUGAGCGGAUGACCGGCAAACCUGAAACUGGAACACGUUCCAGCCCCCAACGGGAGGCGGCAGAGGGAAAUAUUCGACAAUGGGGGCAGCCCUGAUGCAGCCAGCCGGCGUAGGUGAAGAAGGCCUUCGGGUGGUAAAGCCUGUUUGUUGGGAAGAAAAAGCAUCAGAGUAACACCCCGCUGUUCUGAGGGUACCCAAAGAAUAAGCACGGGCUAACUUCGU
rnacentral:rRNA from 1 species